rnacentral:rRNA from 1 species
GACGAACGCUGGCGGCGUGCCUAAUACAUGCAAGUCGAACGGAGUGGGGACGGGUGAGUAACAAGUGGGUAACCUCCCAUCAGAGGGGAGAACACUUGGAAACAGGUGCUAAACCGAUACUGAUGGAUGGACCCGCGGUGCAUUAGCUAGUUGGUGAGGUAACGGCGCACCAAGGCCACGAUGCAUAGCCGCCCUGUGAGGGUUAUCGGCCAAACUGGGACUGAGACACGGCCCAGACUCCUACGGGAGGCAGCAGUAGGGAAUCUUCGACAAUGGACGAAAGUCUGAUCGAGCAACGCCGCGUGAAUGAAGAAGGUUUUCGGAUCGUAAAACUCUGUUGUCAGGGAGGCGGUAUCUAACGAAAAAGCCACGGCUAACUACGUGCCAGCAGCCGCGGUAAUAC